CCGCCCGCCCGGCCCGGCCGGAGCGCCGGCUCCGCGCUCACCUGGGCGGAUUUCUUGCAGGGUCCGGACUGCAGGAACCGUGCGAUCAGAAAUGCCAAAUCCAGCUGUGGAUGAAGCACCCAGGAAAUGGGUGGCUCUGUGUCCCUGUGUGCUCUGGGCUCUGCCAGCAGAAGGAUCAGGGGAAUGAUGUCAGUGUCAAAUCCAUCCUCAGUAUCUCUGAAUUCCAACUUUGUACCUAAAAAUGCCUGGAGCCCCCCAGGUUUUAUAGCAGCAAAAUUACUACUGGGUGUAAGUGUCCAGGGCCGAAUCCUGCAUUUUUGGCUUCUCCUUGGAGCCUGGGCACAAAGUAUCUGACUGCAACUGGGAAUUCAUCAUCUCUCUCCCUUGGACAUGCAAAUUUUACUGGAACUCCCUCAGCUAAGUAAACAAUUUUAAUAAAAUUACAUCCCUCUGUAUCAUCCCCCUUUCCAUAAGGUUUUGAGGAUUUUUAUGUUUCAGUUAUAUUUUUAAUUUUACAAAAAUAUCAGAAAUACUGGGAAGGAGUACAAUAUAUUUUUUUAGAGUGCUGCUUUUAUUGAAAUAAAAGGUUAUAAAACAG